rnacentral:rRNA from 1 species
UACGUAGGGUGCAAGCGUUGUUCGGAUUUACUGGGCGUAAAGGGCGCGUAGGCGGCGCGACAAGUCACUUGUGAAAUCUCCGGGCUUAACCCGGAGCGGCCAAGUGAUACUGUAGUGCUAGAGUGCGGAAGGGGCUACUGGAAUUCUCGGUGUAGCGGUGAAAUGCGUAGAUAUCGAGAGGAACACCUGCGGCGAAGGCGGGUAGCUGGGCCGACACUGACGCUGAGGAGCGAAAGCGUGGGGAGCGAACAGG